AUGGCGGUGCACGGCCCAGAAACUGCUGCCCAAACUGCUGCGGGCGACAGGGCUGCGGAAUCUGGCUCCAGAAGGGAGGGCAGGGCUGAGGUCCGGAGGGACGGGCAGAGAAAGGGCUCCCCCAUGAGGGCUGAGACCCUCUGUGUGCAGGUGGSCGCACCCGGGCGGGUGUGCAGGGGCAGCAGGAAGGGGAGGACGAGCUGCCAGGGGGCUCAGCUCCGUUCCCUCCCUGGCCUCUCACCCCGGCCAGGGGCAGCUCAGAGGCACGAGCGGGCCAAGGGCAUGCAGGGACCCUCCAGUGGGACCUCCUGGCUGACCCAGUGGGCACAACACCUCCAUGGGGCCGGGAGGAGGAGGAGGAGGGCAGCUGCUGCAAGGGCCUCGCAGGGCCCCAUUGGGUGUGGGGGAUGUGGGGGGGAGGGGCUGGGCGUGGCUGUGGCCCUGCCCCCGAUUGUUGGGUGGGGCCCUGCGCACAAUAGGAGGCAGCCGGGCACUGGCGGAUGUCCCUGGCGGUGGUGGUGGUGGCCGAGCAGGAGUUGUGUCCGUGGCGCGAGCGUCCCGAGCGCAGCAAGAGCCUGUGAGCCGCACAGUGUAAGAGCCGCUUCCUUCCCUCCUCUGCCCCGCAUGGGCAAAGAGGCUGCAGGGAGCCGGGCUCGGGGCUGCCGCAGCUUCAGCGCGGCCCCGGCCACUGGGUGGCCAGAGGGGACGAGGAGGGGACGAGGAGCCACAUGCUCUCUGGUCUGCUCCGAGACCCAGCAACGGGCUCUCACUUCCAAGGAGAGGCUCUUCUCCUCUGGGUUUUGGGACCUUCUCCGUGACCUCCCUCUUCCCUUUGGCCAGUGCUUGUGCUUCGGGGCACCGGGGAAAAGUAUUCCCCGCCUAAAAGGAGAAGAAGAGAGUCUCCUGGCACAGCGCCCCUGCUUGGGAGAUGCAGAAGAGCUGCCCUUUCUCAGCCUGAGAAGAUAUCUCGGCCUGAGAGGGCAGGGGAUAUCACCAAGUGUCCUGUGCAAGCAAAGAAGAGGAUGGUAA
rnacentral:lncRNA from 1 species